UUCCGGUUGAUCCUGCCGGAGGCUACCGCUAUUGGAGUUCGAUUAAGCCAUGCGAGUCGCGAGAAAUUAGAUUCUCGGCGUACCGCUCAGUAACACGUGGGUAACCUGCCCUAUGCUGGAUAAUAACCUCGGGAAACUGAGAAUAAUGAUCCAUAGUUCACUACGCCUGGAACGGUGAGUGGAUGAAAGCCCCGGCGGCAUAGGAUGGGCCUGCGGCGUAUCAGGUUGUAGGGGGUGUAACGUACCCUCUAGCCCUCUACGCGUACGGGUGUUGGGAGACAUAGCCCGGAGAUGGAUUCUGAGACACGAAUCCAGACCCUACGGGGUGCAGCAGGCGCGAAAACUUGGCAAUGCGAGAAAUCGUGACCAGGGAACUCCAGGUGCAUCGGGUAAGACCGGUGCUUUUCUUGACUCUAAAUAGGUCUUGGAAUAAGGGGUGGGUAAGGACGGUGCCAGCCGCCGCGGUAAUACCGGCGCCUCAAGUGGUAGUCGCUUUUAUUGGGCCUAAAACGUCCGUAGCCGGUCUGAUACAUUCGUGGGUAAAUCAACCAGCUCAACUGGUUGAAUUCUGCGAGGACGGUCAGACUUGGGACCGGGAGAGGUGUGGGGUACGCUCAGGGUAGGGGUAAAAUCCUGUCAUCCUGAGCGGACCACCUGUUGCGAAGGCGCCACACUAGAACGGAUCCGACGGUCAGGGACGAAGCCUAGGGGCACGAACCGGAUUAGAUACCCGGGUAGUCCUAGGUGUAAACGCUGUGGACUUGAUGUUGGGGGUGCUCCGAGCACUCUCAGUGUCGAAGCGAAGGUGAUAAGUCCACUGCCUGGGAAGUACGGUCGCAAGGCUGAAACUUAAAGGAAUUGGCGGGGGAGCACCGCAACCUGAGGAUUGUGCGGUUUAAUUGGAUUCAACGCCGGA
rnacentral:rRNA from 1 species